rnacentral:rRNA from 1 species
GGGGAAUCUUCCGCAAUGGGCGCAAGCCUGACGGAGCAAUGCCGCGUGAGUGACGAAGGCCUUCGGGUUGUAAAACUCUGUCCUUAGGGAAGAACGGUCUAUAUGUGAAUAAUGUAUAGAAAUGACGGUACCUAAGGAGGAAGCCCCGGCUAACUACGUGCCAGCAGCCGCGGUAACACGUAGGGGGCGAGCGUUGUCCGGAAUCACUGGGCGUAAAGAGCACGUAGGCGGAUUAUUAAGUCAGAUGUGAAAACUCUGGGCUCAACCUAGAGACUGCAUCUGAAACUGGUAGUCUUGAGUAUAGAAGAGGAGAGUGGAAUUCCUAGUGUAGCGGUGAAAUGCGUAGAUAUUAGGAGGAACACCAGUGGCGAAGGCGACUCUCUGGUCUAUAACUGACGCUGAGGUGCGAAAGCGUGGGGAGCAAAC